CAGAGCCUCAUGCUGCUACCCAGGCUGGAGUGCAGAGGUGAGAUCCUAGCUCACCACAGCUUCAACUCCUAGGCUCAGGCGAUCCUCCCACCUCAGCCUCUCAAGUGUCUGGGACUACAGCAUGUAUUAAGUAUUGGGGGCCAGCCAGGCAACAGGCGAGAUUAUGAAGAUUCAACAGGGAACAAGCAAUAGUGCCUACCUUCAAUAAAUGCACAGCGCCAUGAGGAAGAUGAGCACCAGCUAUGAUGUAAGCAAUUCGAAGCCACGCUCGACCAGGACGCAAAGGUGACCUUAUCAAACCACCAAGUAAACAGAUCUGUCUUGUACACAUACUAAAGGUGGGAGACAAACGACAGAAAACUGUCACCAUGUUUUCAUGCUAUGCUGAGACCAUUUUCCCUUUCUCUAUGGUGCCUGCACGUGU